ACCACUCCUCUGGUUUGUAAAAACGGUGGGAUAUCACUGAAUGGUGUCUGUAUCUGUCCUGAUGAAUGGACCGGAGCAACAUGCUCAGUAGGAAAUUUCUGUGAAGCAGAUAAGCUCAAUGGAUACCUGUUCCCGCGCACACCCAUCGGCUGGUUUGCAUAUUCUGAGCAAAAAUGUCCCAAAGGAACAAGUGGUGCUGGUAAACCACGGGCUUCGACUAGAUGUUCCAUGAAGAACGGAACACUGAGUUUCGACCGUCCACCACAGGUGCUCCAGUGUGACCAGACGCUCAGUGACAUACAACAAAAU